AAAUAGACAAAUCCUGGAGUUCCGUGUCUAACUUUGACUGUCCGUCUUAUAUGAAAUUUUUUUAUCAUUCGCAUUUUCAUUGUUGUUAGAUGAUAAAAUAUGAUUAAUAUUUUAUGCGUGACUUGUCUUUUUAAUUUUUUUCAUAAUUUUUUUAAAUAAGACGAACGGUCAAAUGUUGGACACGGAAAUUAGGGUUUGUCUUUUU
rfam:Oryza rufipogon genomic scaffold, chr01